ACAUGGCAGCAGGCGCCGUGCGUGGGGAGGAUCAACAUGCUGCAUGUUCAGUUGGACUUCUCUCCCUGGCUCCCUUCGAGGAUGAAAGGAGAUAAUGUAAUCUAUCCUGUGCCAAAUAGGGACCCGAGGGCUGGCCUUACAGGUGUGUGACAUGGGCGACCAUCCAGGGCUCCGCAGUCGGAGGGCGGUGGGCGCCAUCUGAGUGCCAGAAGCUGCGUGCCUGGGCUGCUGGAGUGGGGUGAGUGCAGGCAAGCCCGGGGCUGGAGCCCCUGACCAAUCAGGCGGGAGGCGGGUGAUGCCUUCCAGAGCUGCAAGCCUGGUGGUGAGCCACAGGCAGCAGGGCUCAU
rnacentral:lncRNA from 1 species